UUUUUUUUCCACCGCUUGGAAGUUGUUAGUGUGUCUUAGACUUCAAGGAAGGGGUUGUUCUUUGUUUUUAAAACAGUGUCUGCUUGUUUACCGGGUUGAGUAAUUGUCUCUAAACUUUACGUGUCUACUUUGGUAAAUUUGGAAAGAGAUUAUUGAUCUGUUCUAAUCAAACAGCAAACAUGAAAAAGGAAAUCGUUUGGGGAGGGUGUCUUGGGAGUUGUAGUUUGGUGGGACAGAAAUGCAAGUACAUUAGAGAAGAUUCCAGGAAGGGAAGAAAAAGUGGGAGUUUAUUGUGGACCAUUUAACAUUGAGAAAGAACAGAAAGCCUGGAUGACCUGCAGGAAGGAGCCAGGCUGGUGACACAUGCCUGUAAUCCCAGUACUCAGGAGGCUAAAGCAAAGCAGGAAAGGUCACCUGGAGUUCUUGUGGAGACUGGCUUGGAAAUCAUGUAUCCAAACCCCAGAAGAUGUAUAGAAGAUAAAGGAAAGGUCUUACGUCCUUUGUAUCAACAUGGCCAGUAACCUUUUGGUGUGCAUCUUGAACCUUUGGAUACAGUGUAAGUUUUCCAAUUGCAAUCAUUCCAAAGACCUAUUAGUCUAAGGGUGGCAGUAACCACAAUUCCCGUUUCCAAGUUAGACCUUCUGUACAGUUCUAGCCUGUAGGACACCCUUUAUAGCCUCCUAACUCUGGUUUCAAAGGUCGUUUUAAUGUUGCUUCUAUUGUCAUUAAAGAAGAUACUUGAUGCUUGUAUCCAUUACAAACUAAACAUAUGGUGACAAUAAAUUUAACCAAUUUCAUGAUUUCAUCAUUCUGUGUAACGCUUUCAAGGUGAAAGGUUUUCAAGGGGACCAUACAAGGCAGCAAAGCCUAAAUAUCUUCUGAGGGUGUGGUGAAGUGUGUAAUUCCUAUCCCGGUGAUAGCAAAGACCAACCUCAUACAAAAAGUAGCACUAUAAGAUCCUCUGUGCACAGGCACGCGCACACACACACACACACACGUACCCUUUCAAAACCAUCUCCAGAAAAAUGGACCUCUGUUUGAAAGUUUUAAGAGUUAAUCGAAACCAUAGACGUCUGUCCUUAAAUCCCAGUUAACUCUUCCUGUACACUGUAUACAGCGGAUCAUCCAGAAAUAGUGGGUAGAAUGGAAUUUGAGCUGGGUCUCAGAGGUCAGGCACAAGUGUGGUAGGAAAUGGUAUAUGCUACAGAAGCACCGUUUGUGUUUUGUGUGAUAAACUGCUAAUAGUUUACCCCUGGGAUUCCUAAGUGGGGAAUUCCUUGGACUGACUGUAUGCUUGGUAAACCUUGAUAUUUAACAUAUAGCAUUGAGGUAUAAAAGAAUAUGAACUUGUGACUUUCUGGGGAGGGUAAUCUCCACCAGGUUUAAUGAUUUCUGGGUAUGGGUGUUUUGCCUGUGUGUAUAUCUGUGUACCACAAGGGUACUGUGCUCUCCGGGGCCAGAGGAGGGUUUCAGAUCCUCUGGAACUAGAGAUACAGGGGGUAGAGAGCCAACAUAUGGGUGGAGGAAUGGAAUUUAGGUUCUUAACCCUUGAACCAUCUUUCCUGCCUAAGGAGGUCAUUUUCAAUUAUAAAGUCAUCUCUACUGUAAACAUCUCCAAAGAACCAGUUUUUGCCCUGCUUUUCCAUGUUAGCUAUUUUAAUAAGACUUUCAAUUUUAUCUUUUAACAUAAAUAUAUUCCAGUCACUUCCUCGAAGCAACAUGUUUACAUCAUUGAAUAUUUCAAAAACUAUCUGACAAGUAACAGUUUUGAGUGCCAUAAAUCAUUAUUUAAAAAAAAAAAACAAAAAACCCAAAAUCAAAACUAACCAAAUCGGGUUUCUGUUCCACCAAGAUCUUUCGCAACCUUCCAACUUGAGUGUCCUGCGAGCCACCUCUGCAUGCUGAGGGGCUCUGUAAGCUGAGUCUGUUUGCCGGGGUAGGGAAACAGAGCGAAGAGAAUGGCUUUUUGAUGAACAGUCCUGCCAAACACAACUGCCUUGAGACUUUCUGGCCACGGGUGCCUCCUGAUGGAUCACUGAGUGAAAGGACAUUUGUUUCUGCAAACUUUGAAUUCUGUCACAGGCCAACAUCCUCUCGUACAAUUUCUGCAUCAACAUCUAUGCAGAAUCUUAAGGAGACCUUUUAGCUGUGAGUCUCCAUUUGUUAAAAAAAAACAAAACAAAAUCCACUGAUGUUAAGGUUAAUAUCUUCCCAGCUUGUGUUCCCUCCCCACUGGGCAACAAAGCAGUUUUUCAGAUAUGCUUCCUUCCUUCCUAUACACAUAUCUCAAAGCAACAACGGUACUGCAAUAGGAAUACUAGUUGUGGCAUCUCCAUGAAUUACUUCCCUUAAACCUGCUGAGAAAGUGAUGGGACUGGUCGCAUUAGUUCUGGAGAUUCUGUCGGAGGGAGCGCCCUUUAAUAAAGAAACCUGAAGAAUUCC
rnacentral:lncRNA from 1 species